GACGAAGGAUGCAAGCGUUAUCCGGAUUCAUUGGGUUUAAAGGGUGCGUAGGCGGCCAGAUAAGUCAGUGGUGAAAUCUCCUUGCUUAACAAGGAAACUGCCAUUGAUACUGUUUGGCUUGUAGUAUAGUUGCUGUGGGCGGAAUAUGACAUGUAGUGGUGAAAUACAUAGAGAUGUCAUAGAACACCGAUUGCGAAGGCAGCUCACAAAACUAUAACUGACGCUGAGGCACGAAAG
rnacentral:rRNA from 1 species